UACGGGGGGGGGCAAGCGUUGUUCGGAAUUACUGGGCGUAAAGGGCUCGCAGGCGGCCGACUAAGUCAGACGUGAAAUCCCUUGGCUUAACCAAGGAAUGGCGUCUGAUACUGGACGGCUUGAAUCCGGGAGAGGGAUGUGGAAUUCCAGGUGUAGCGGUGAAAUGCGUAGAUAUCUGGAAGAACACCGGUGGCGAAGGCGGCAUCCUGGACCGGUAUUGACGCUGAGGAGCGAAAGCCAGGGGAGCAAACGGG
rnacentral:rRNA from 1 species